rnacentral:rRNA from 1 species
AACGAACGCUGGCGGCAGGCUUAACACAUGCAAGUCGAACGCCCCGCAAGGGGAGUGGCCGACGGGUGCGUAACGCGUGGGAAUCUACCCAUCCCUACGGAAUAACGCAUGGAAACGUGUGCUAAUACCGUAUACGCCCUACGGGGGAAAGAUUUAUCGGGGAUGGAUGAGCCCGCGUUGGAUUAGCUAGUUGGUGGGGUAAAGGCCUACCAAGGCGACGAUCCAUAGCUGGUCUGAGAGGAUGAUCAGCCACAUUGGGACUGAGACACGGCCCAAACUCCUACGGGAGGCAGCAGUGGGGAAUAUUGGACAAUGGGCGCAAGCCUGAUCCAGCCAUGCCGCGUGAGUGAUGAAGGCCUUAGGGUUGUAAAGCUCUUUCACCGGAGAAGAUAAUGACGGUAUCCGGAGAAGAAGCCCCGGCUAACUUCGUG